UACGUAGGGUGCAAGCGUUAAUCGGAAUUACUGGGCGUAAAGCGUGCGCAGGCGGUUAUGUAAGACAGAUGUGAAAUGCCCGGGCUUAACCUGGGAACUGCAUAUGUGACUGCAUGGCUAGAGUGUGUCAGAGGGGGGUAGAAUUCCACGUGUAGCAGUGAAAUGCGUAGAUAUGUGGAGGAAUACCGAUGGCGAAGGCAGCCCCCUGGGAUAACACUGACGCUCAUGCACGAAAGCGUGGGGAGCAAACAGG
rnacentral:rRNA from 1 species